rnacentral:rRNA from 1 species
UACAGAGGUCUCAAGCGUUGUUCGGAUUCAUUGGGCGUAAAGGGUGCGUAGGUGGCUGGGUAGGUCUGGUGUGAAAUCUCGGAGCUCAACUCCGAAACUGCACUGGAUACUGCCUGGCUCGAGUACUGGAGAGGAGAUUGGAAUUUACGGUGUAGCAGUGAAAUGCGUAGAUAUCGUAAGGAAGACCAGUGGCGAAGGCGAAUCUCUGGACAGUUACUGACACUGAGGCACGAAGGCCAGGGGAGCAAACAGGAUUAGAAACCCUUGUAGU